GGGUUUGUGGCUCAGUGGUAGAGCACUUGCCUCACAUGCAUGAGAUACUGGGUUCAAUCCUCAGCCCCA
rnacentral:tRNA from 1 species